AUGGCUAUAUCAUACAUUGCUUGAAAUAACAUGCGCCAAAAAUGCUAUUCAGUAUAUAAAAUAUGUUGUCUUCUUUUGGUGAAGCAUUUUGUAAUAUUGUAAAGUCCAUUUGUCUUUGAGUGUUAAUUUAAAAUGUAAACAGUAUAAAUUUUUUCCAGGUUAAUAUUUAACAGUGUAUGUGAUGUUUUAUUGUUAUAUUUGCAGUUUAUGUCUUUGAAAAGUUAAAAUGUAAACAAUUAUCUUGAUUCUUCUGUGUGAAUAAAAGUAAAUUUCACUUUUGAUAACAGAGCCAAUGAGGUUUUAAAAGUGUGGGAGAAUGUCAUCAAUAAACCGUCACUUUGUUUAGUACGUCCACUGGCAGUUUGUAGGAACAAUCCCACCCCAAUAUAUAACAAUCCCACACAAAAUAUAAUAAAUAUUUUUUUAUAAUUUUCCAUUCUUCUAAAAAUCUGAUUUUGUUUACAAAAGAAAAAUCCCCAUUAUUUGGUAUAUGUUAAAAUGGCC